rnacentral:rRNA from 1 species
UACGUAGGGUGCAAGCGUUGCCCGGAUUUAUUGGGCGUAAAGGGCGCGUAGGCGGCUCUGCACGUCCGUUGUGAAAUCGCCCGGCUCAACUGGGCGGGGUCAGCGGAUACGGCAGAGCUUGAGCAAGCUAGGGGGCAAUGGAAUUCCCGGUGUAGUGGUGGAAUGCGUAGAUAUCGGGAGGAACACCAGUGGCGAAGGCAGGUCUCUGGGCCACUACUGACGCUGAGAAGCGAAAGCAUGGGGAGCGAACAGG